rnacentral:SRP_RNA from 1 species
GCUGGGCAUGGUGGUGCAUGCCUGUAGUCGCAGCUACUCCAGAGGCUGAGGCGGGAGGAUCACUUGAGCCCAGGAGUUCAAGGCUGCAGUGAGCUAUGAUUGUGCCACUGUGCUCUAGCCUGGGUGACAGAGUGAGACCCCAUCUCUA